rnacentral:rRNA from 1 species
AUUGAACGCUGGCGGCAGGCCUAACACAUGCAAGUCGAACGGUAACAGGAAGCAGCUUGCUGCUUUGCUGACGAGUGGCGGACGGGUGAGUAAUGUCUGGGAAACUGCCUGAUGGAGGGGGAUAACUACUGGAAACGGUAGCUAAUACCGCAUAACGCCGCAAGACCAAAGAGGGGGACCUUCGGGCCUCUUGCCAUCGGAUGUGCCCAGAUGGGAUUAGCUAGUAGGUGGGGUAACGGCUCACCUAGGCGACGAUCCCUAGCUGGUCUGAGAGGAUGACCAGCCACACUGGAACUGAGACACGGUCCAGACGCCUACGGGAGGCAGCAGUGGGGAAUAUUGCACAAUGGGCGCAAGCCUGAUGCAGCCAUGCCGCGUGUAUGAAGAAGGCCUUCGGGUUGUAAAGUACUUUCAGCGGGGAGGAAGGGAGUAAAGUUAAUACCUUUGCUCAUUGACGUUACCCGCAGAAGAAGCACCGGCUAACUCCGUG